rnacentral:rRNA from 1 species
GCUGGUGAGCUGGCGUGCGGUGCGGUGUGCCGGGUCUGGACCGAUCCGUCGGGUUCGGGUGCGCUGGCAGACGCGACGCGCCACGUCUCCGCGGCUGGCGUGCCACGUGUUGGCGACCGGCGCCGGAGAUCCGCUCGCCCGUCUUCCUCCCCUGCUCCGCUCCCCUCCCCCCAGUCGAGUCGCCUCCGCUGCCGGGCAUCGGGUCCUUCUCCUGCUUCCGGAGACGCGUGCGUGGUUCUCGGGUUGCCGUGCCGCGCGAUGGCGGCGCCGCCUUCCACCUCCUCGCCGUCCGGGGAGGUCCGCGUCGAGAGAUCGCCUACUGACCUAACCGGCGGCGACGGCCAGGCAGCGCCCUCGAGGGCCGAAUUGCUCAGCAUGGUGAAGAAGCACUCGCAUCUGAUCGGGUGGACAGUCGUCGAGGCCGAGGACGAUCCGUCGGACGUCGAGAUGGAUGAUAAGUUCUGGCAUGAGAUGCUUGAUCUUUUCUUCGUGCGUGGUAGGGUGUCAAGGAGCAGGGAGGAGGACGACCUCGUCUUCUUUGUCAAUAGCACGAUGCAGAAAAUGGAAGAUCUGCCUCCCUUUUUCGUGCGGAGAUGGGCUCCUACGCUUGAAAAGCUCAUCAAUGCUAAUUCAACUGAGGUUGAUUGGGAACGUUCCUUCUAUUUGAAUUUAGUCGCUCACACGUCAUAUACUGUCACAGUGGCAUUGUGCAGUAUCAGCAAUCUUCGCAAUCGUGCAGACAAAAGCAAGUGGUCGCCUCCAAUUUAUAAGGUUUCGAAAACUGUAUAUGCAUCCCCUAGCCGUGUAAAUUUCCGCCUUGAUCAAAGAAAGGCUGUAGAAACAGUACCUGCAUAUCCCAACAUUUAUUUCUCAGUUGAUGACUUCGAUGAUCCUUUUGAUGCUGUGGUUUUGUCAGACCCAGAACACUGCUAUUGUGUGAUUCUCAAUGCGCAUGAUGGGGCAGCAUUUCCUGAAGAAACUGAAGCAAGCAACGUCUCAAAUGUACAAUCUGGGUUCAACUCUGGGAGCAGUGGAGAGAACCCACCAAAGAGAACUCUCUUCUCAGGCUAUGUCAGCUAUCAAAAUGUCCGUGAAGCUUAUGAUGCUGGCAGAUCCAAAUUUGGGAGCUUCCUCUCACUUGGGCAGGACAAUACUAAACUUGAUAAACUUUUCAUGAGGGGCCCUGAAGGACGUGGGGAAGUUGAAGUUGCUGUUUCUGGGAUUCCAGAUCAGAGCCACGAGAGAUCAAAGAAAGAUCCAGGAGAUAACUUCCGGGUUCUUGUUCGCAAGGCGGCUUCUGCUGCAUCAAAGUUUGCAGAGCAGGCCUUCGAGGCUGCAUCUGCCAACAAACGACCGGACCAUAAGCUUCUUCCUCUCAAGUGUUGUUUGAUGUCAGUAUCUCUUCCUUGGGACUUCAUUGCCCAUGACCUGUUGCACAAGGAAACGCCACCUUUGGACUUCUGAGGCUGCGAUUCCACCGUCCCCUAAAGGGUUGGAUGUGGAACUUCUGCCGAUGUAACCAGGAAACUUCUGCACAAUCUCCUAACAUCCAUGGAGAUUGCUCAGAAGUUUGUGGAUGGAUAUGUCGUAGACUUCAGUAAGAUGGCGUGCGAGUACGAGGAAGGAUGGAGCUACCCAAGAAACUGAGAUAUGAUAUGUGUGCGUGUGUGUGUACUUUGUUAGAUCAAACUUGGUAGUGUUCGAGCCUGUCUCUGUGCUGCAGACUAGCUGACUAGGGCGUGUAAAUAUGGAGGGGUUCUUUCAUGGUUUCUUUCAUUGCUUUUUUAUAUCGUUUAAAAGUUCUGUCGUCGAAACGAUAACAAUUCAUCAGUGUCCAAUUAGCCCUCUUAUUAUGUCGUCAAAUACCCAGAUAAAAAUAUGACAACAACUGAUCGUCUGAACUGAUACUUGAUACACAUCUGAUGCACAUCAUCGUUAACACUUCCAUAGAUGGUGCUGACAGAAUGUGACCUAAUAUUGCAGGAUGACAUAUCAUGCUAUAUACAUAUGCAUUUCCAUGUUCAUUUUCCAAAUAAAGAUGCUGCAAAUUUAUAAUUUUUUGCUGUCAAGUGUUUUGUCAUAUAACUUUUUUUUUGAGGGAGUUUUCUCAUAUAACUGGAUCCGAUGUUUAUAAGUGUGAGCUUGACACGAUGUUUAUAAGUGUAGACGCAUGCAGUGAUUUAUUUAAAAAAUUUGUAGUUAUGGGCUUUGAGAAUUUGUUCAUACGGUACUAAUCAAUCAAGCGGAAUUCUCAUAUCUACUAGGUGUAUUUAAAAAGGAGAAAGUCAUAAAUUAUAUCGCCAUAUGGUACGUACAUGGAAUAUCCGGGUCCGGGAGUAUGGGUGGGUGCGUGUGGCCUGCGCCGGCUCCGACUGCGCAUAGUAGCAGGGCCGCCAGCAACAGGGCUGCGACUGGGAGCAAGCCACUUUUCCUCUUAGGCAUGCGCCCAGAUCGAUUUCCCUCGCGCUCUCCACGAGCUCGCGAGGCACAAGUGCUGGCUCUUACAGUAUAAUUUACUUAUAUAU